GAUGAACGCUGGCGGCGUGCCUAAUACAUGCAAGUCGAGCGAACAGACGAGGAGCUUGCUCCUCUGACGUUAGCGGCGGACGGGUGAGUAACACGUGGAUAACCUACCUAUAAGACUGGGAUAACUUCGGGAAACCGGCGCUAAUACCGGAUAAUAUAUUUAACCGCAUGGUUCAAUAGUGAAAGACGGUUUUGCUGUCACUUAUAUAUGGAUCCGCGCCGCAUUAGCUAGUUGGUAAGGUAACGGCUUACCAAGGCAACGAUGCGUAGCCGACCUGAGAGGGUGAUCGGCCACACUGGAACUGAGACACGGUCCAGACUCCUACGGGAGGCAGCAGUAGGGAAUCUUCCGCAAUGGGCGAAAGCCUGACGGAGCAACGCCGCGUGAGUGAUGAAGGUCUUCGGAUCGUAAAACUCUGUUAUUAGGGAAGAACAAAUGUGUAAGUAACUAUGCACGUCUUGACGGUACCUAAUCAGAAAGCCACGGCUAACUACGUG
rnacentral:rRNA from 1 species